rnacentral:lncRNA from 1 species
UCUUAGUGGAUUAUUUAUCUCUGAUACUGAAACAAUUUUCAUGAAUGACAUAAGAAAAAAAUGGAUCAAAAGAGACAGCAUUAAAAUGUAUUUUAUUUGCAGCAGUUCAUAUAUCAGUCCCUUAAUUAUCGUCAGCAUGCAACAUCCAUUCUGUAUAUUACUCAGAAGAAAAUGAACUGAAGGACAUAGCUACCAUCAAGAAACAUCAUUUCGAUGCUGAUGAAUGAUUCACCUCAUAGAUUUCAGUCAAGCUUUCUUGGAAGCAUUUGCAGGCAUUGUCAGUUACUUUCACCACCCCGUCAUAUUAUUGUUUUGAUUGAUAAUGUUGAGCCGAAGAUGAUGACCACCAAGGCUUGAAUCGGGCCCAGUUUCUCCUCCAGUCGACACCAAUACGAAAAUCACCCAAUAAUAGCUGUCUAAGUAAGUGGGCAAUUAAGUGGGUUACCCAAUAUUAGCCGUCCAAGUAAGUGAAAUGGACCAUUAGUAGCUCUAAUUAAAAUUAGGGAAAAAUUAAAAAAUCAGGUAUUAAGUAUGGGAUAAUUCAUUUUCCAAGUUUCUAGUUUCAAACUUCAAAACUCAUAUAUUAAUUAAUUAAAUAUAUUAAGGUCACAAUUAUAUAAUUAAUGGUCACAUAUUAUCAAAUUAAUUGGUCACACAGUCACAAUCACACAAAUAACACCCAAAUAACGAGUCACAGAAUGCCCAUCCACCACCACCACCACCACCUCCACCUCUACCUCCAUCAUUUUCAAAACCACCACGACCACCAACAAUGCCACACAAACACCAAAACCAGCACCUACAUCUAUUCCACUGUCGCCAAAUCCACAAUAACUAUCAAGACAACACCAACAUCGACACCAAUAGAUCUACUACCACCGCCUGCACCACCACUCCAAAAAAAAAAAAAAAAAAAAAAA